rnacentral:rRNA from 1 species
GAUCUCACUGGGAACUUGAUUCCCCUGAAGGGCCGUCGAAGACUACGACGUUGAUAGGCUGGGUGUGUAAGCGUUGUGAGGCGUUGAGCUAACCAGUACUAAUUGCCCGUGAGGCUUGACCAUAUAACACCCAAACA